rnacentral:lncRNA from 1 species
UGAUCUCCACGUCAUGACACAAUCUCCGUGUCACGACACGACUCCCAUGUCGUGAUGUCCCACCCCAUGUCACGAUAACUCCACGUCAUGACACGAUCUCCAUGUUACGACGUGACCUCCAUGUCACGACACGAUCUCCAUGUCACAACAUGACCUCCAUGUCAUGACAUGAUAACUCCACGUCAUGACACGAUCUCCAUGUCAUGACGUGACCUCCAUGUCACGACACGAUCUCCAUGUCACAACACGGCUUCCAUGUCACGAUACGACUCCCAUGUUGUGAUGUCCCACCCCAUGUCACGAUAACUCCACGUCAUGACACGAUCUCCAUGUCACGACGUGACCUCCAUGUCACGACACGAUAACUCCACGUCACGACACGAUCUCCAUGUCACGACGUGACCUCCAUGUCACGACACGAUAACUCCACGUCACGACACGAUCUCCACGUCACGACACGACUCCCAUGUCGUGAUGUCCCAGCUCAUGUCACGAUAACCCCAUGUCACGACAUGACUCCACGUCACGACACGACCCCGUGUCCCGUGUCCCGCCGCAGGGCGCCGCGGCGCCGGACGGCGAGCUGGACGUCCGGCCGCGCUUCCGCCGCCGCGCGCGGUGACGGCGACGAUGACCCGUCCGACUGGAACCUGCGGAAGCGCUCGGCCCAACAUCUUCGGGAGGAGCUGCUCUUCCACCUGGAGUGGGUGGGCAAGGAGUCGGGGAUCCUGGUGCUGGGGGACAUCGCCGAAGGUGGGACCCCAAAAACCCCAAAACCCCCAAAAAACAGCCCGAAAAUCCCCCAAAAACAGCCUCAAAAACCCCCAGAAACAGCCCCAAAACAGCCCCUGAUCCAGGGCAUCCUGUUGCUGGGGGACAUCGCCGAAGGUGGGACCCCAAAAAUCCCAAAAUCCCCCAAAAACUGCCCCAAAACCCCCAGAAACAGCCCCAAAAUGAGCCCCUGAUCCGGGGCAUCCUGGUGCUGGGGGACAUCGCCGAAGGUGGGACCCCAAAAAUCCCAAAAUCCCCCAAAACCAGCCCCCAAAACCCCCCAAAACAGGCUCCAAAACCCCCAGAAACAGCCCCAAAAUGAGCCCCUGAUCCAGGGCAUCCUGGUGCUGGGGGACAUCGCCGAAGGUGGGACCCCAAAAUCCCCAAAAAACAGCCCAAAAAUCCCCCAAAAACUGUCCCAAAAUCCCCAAAAACUGCCCCAAAAUCCCCAAAAUGUGCCCCAAAGCGGCCCCAGCCCGGUGAUGACCGCGGACAUUCGAAUCCCGAAUCCCCCUGUGGAUCUCUGUGCUCUGAGGGCCUCGGGGCGCGGCGGGUGACCCCAAAUCCUCUGGGUGACCCCAAAUCCUCUGGGUGUCCCGAAAUCCCUUUGGGUGUCCCCAAAUCCUCUGGGUGACCCCAAAUCCUCUGGGUGUCCCCAAAUCCUCUGGGUGACCCCAAAUCCUUCUGGGUGACCCCAAAUCCUCUGGAUGUCCCGAAAUCCCUUUGGGU